GCUUGUUUCAGAUGAACAUCUGCUAAAAUUGGAAUAAGACAGAGAAGAUUAGUGAGGCCCUUGCGCAUGGAUGACUCUUUUGGCUGAGUUGCUCUCCACAGGUAG